rnacentral:rRNA from 1 species
UUCGGGGUACUCGAGUGGCGACGGGUGAGUACACGUGGGUGAUCUGCCCUGCACUUUGGGAUAAGCCUGGGAAACUGGGUCUAAUACCGAAUACACCCUGCUGGUCGCAUGGCCUGGUGGGGGAAAGCUUUUGCGGUGUGGGAUGGGCCCGCGGCCUAUCAGCUUGUUGGUGAGGUUACGGCUCACCAAGGCGACGACGGGUAGCCGGCCUGAGAGGGUGACCGGCCACACUGGGACUGAGAUACGGCCCAGACUCCUACGGGAGGCAGCAGUGGGGAAUAUUGCACAAUGGGCGCAAGCCUGAUGCAGCGACGCCGCGUGAGGGAUGACGGCCUUCGGGUUGUAAACCUCUUUCGCCAGGGACGAAGCGCAAGUGACGGUACCUGGAGAAGAAGGACCGGCCAACUACGU